rnacentral:rRNA from 1 species
CCUACGGGAGGCAGCAGUGAGGAAUAUUGGUCAAUGGGCGAGAGCCUGAACCUGCCACGUAGCGUGAAGGAUUACUGCCCUACGGGUUGUAAACUUCUUUUAUAAAGGAAUAAAGUGAGGCACGUGUGCCUUUUUGUAUGUACUUUAUGAAUAAGGAUCGGCUAACGCCGUGCCAGCAGCAUCGGUAAUACGGAGGAUCCUCACGUUAUCCGGAUUUAUUGGGUUUAAAGUGGGCGUAGAUGGGUUGUUAAGUCAGUUGUGAAAGUUUGCGGCUCAACCGUAAAAUUGCAAUUGAUACUGGCAGUCUUGAGUACAGUUGAGGUAGGCGGAAUUCGUGGUGUAGCGGUGAAAUGCUUAGAUAUCACGAAGAACUCCGAUGGCGAAGGCAGCUUACUAAACUGCCACUGACAUUGAUGCUCGAAAGUGUGGGUAUCAAACAGGAUUAGAUACCCUUGUAGUC